rnacentral:rRNA from 1 species
UACGUAGGGGACGAGCGUUGUCCGGAAUUACUGGGCGUAAAGGGCGCGCAGGCUGUGCUGCAAGUCAGCUGUGAAAUAUCUGGGCUUAACCUGGAUAUGCGGUUGAGACUGCAGUGCUGGAGUGCUGUAGAGGCAAGUGGAAUUCCCAGUGUAGUGGUGAAAUGCGUAGAUAUUGGGAAGAACACCGGUGGCGGAGGCGACUUGCUGGGCAGCAACUGACGCUGAGGCGCGAAAGCCAGGGGAGCAAACGGG